rnacentral:rRNA from 1 species
AGUGAACGCUGGCGGUAGGCCUAACACAUGCAAGUCGAACGGCAGCACAGUAAGAGCUUGCUCUUACGGGUGGCGAGUGGCGGACGGGUGAGGAAUACAUCGGAAUCUACUUUUUCGUGGGGGAUAACGUAGGGAAACUUACGCUAAUACCGCAUAAGACCUACGGGUGAAAGCAGGGGAUCUUCGGACCUUGCGCGAUUGAAUGAGCCGAUGUCGGAUUAGCUAGUUGGCGGGGUAAGGCCCACCAAGGCGACGAUCCGUAGCUGGUCUGAGAGGAUGAUCAGCCACACUGGAACUGAGACACGGUCCAGACUCCUACGGGAGGCAGCAGUGGGGAAUAUUGGACAAUGGGCGCAAGCCUGUUCCAGCCAUACCGCGUGGGUGAAGAAGGCCUUCGGGUUGUAAAGCCCUUUUGUUGGGAAAGAAAAGCAGCAGGUUAAUACCCCGCUGUUCUGACGGUACCCAAAGAAUAAGCACCGGCUAACUUCGUG